CCUACGGGAGGCAGCAGUGAGGAAUAUUGGUCAAUGGCCGGAAGGCUGAACCAGCCAUGCCGCGUGAAGGUCAGUGCCCUAUGGGCGUUAAACUUCUUUUGUGCGGGAGCAAUAAUGGUCACGUGUGGCCAGACGAGAGUACCGUACGAAUAAGCAUCGGCUAACUCCGUGCCAGCAGCCGCGGUAAUACGGGGGAUGCAAGCGUUAUCCGGAUUUACUGGGUUUAAAGGGUGCGUAGGCGGGGAGGCAAGUCAGAUGUGAAAUGCCGCCGCUCAACGGGGUGAAGUGCCAUUGAUACUGCCUUGCUGGAGUGCGGAUGCGGUGGGAGGAAUGUGUGGUGUAGCGGUGAAAUGCGUAGAUAUCA
rnacentral:rRNA from 1 species